rfam:Endosymbiont of Codakia orbicularis strain COS CODIS_contig000011, whole genome shotgun sequence.
GCCGGCGUAGCUCAGUUGGUAGAGCAGCUGAUUUGUAAUCAGCUGGUCGGGGGUUCGAAUCCUCUCGCCGGCU